CUUCUUAAUGCUAUUAUUCUGCUUUUAAAAUUCCAAAUUUCCUUUAAAAAAUUGGAUUUGGUUUUAACGAUUUUUUUUUUCUGUAAUAUAGACUUGCUUUGAGAUGACAUCCUUGGAUUCGACAAACACUACUUACAAAUAUGUGGCAAUCAGACAUUUUUAUUUCCAAGAAUGCCCCCAGCGAGCUGGUCAAAAAAUUCAUAGGAUACAGGGUGCUAACAAUGGUUUCCAUUAAAUCAUAAUAAAUGUACAGGGAGAGGGUAAAUUAAAUGGCCACGAAACGUGAGGAAGCAGAACCCCAAUCACGCUUGUUUCUCUUGAGCUUGGAAAGGGAUGCAUUUAAUCGUAUUAAAUGAACAAGGAGACAGAAAAUAAGGACUCAAAGUCUGGAGAAGUGAAGCCCUUAUUUCCCUCCCCUUGGGCGUGAAGGUGCAAUUUCCAGAACAUGUAUGGAAUCCGAAUUACACUGAUCCAUAAAAGGAAGGUUGCGGUGUGGUGUAUGGCUUAUUCCACUUAUUUCCUUUCAUCAGCAUCUACUGUUAAGAGGCACCUCUCUUUUGUCAGCAGUUAGGAAUAGAACUCGAGCACGUAUAGUGAUCCUCUAGCAUAAAUCGAUGUUAUCUAUGGGGUUCUCUUUUAACUAUCCACUGUAUAAAUUGACAUCUUGCAUCUACGGUUAUUUCUAUUGCCUUUAACUUUUAUCUAUGACAUGAAUAAAGUUGACAUCUCAUCGCCAUUUUAUAAUUUAGAUCGUCUGACAAAUAGGAGAGAAAUAAAGUUCAGGUUGAUGGUACUGAAACAAUAUCUGCAGGGUUUGGUGGACUACAUUCUUGAUUUGCUGUUUUCGACUUCACCUUGCAACAUUAUGCAGUUAAUUUUCAAGUGAUUAGUGAGAGCAACUAAAGAUUUAUGUGAAUUCCACUGAAAUAAGAAAUUUUCUGCAUUGGCAUUCCUCUUGGAUUUGAUUUGCUUUUUACACCUGCAAACUUUGGAACAUUACGGUCUACAGUUAACUAAGGUCGACGUUGGAGAAGACAAAGAUGACCCCGUAGUUAAAAUAGUUCUAUAUCUUGCAUGCUCUAUGUAAUAGAAUUCAAGUUCAUUUUGUUCAAAUUAGUUUUUUUAUUUUGCAUGUUUUUUUGUAGUUUAUUUUAUUUAAAUUAGUUUUUAUUUUGCAUGCUUA